UUUUCAAGAUGAGAAGUUCAGCAAAAGCUGAAGUCAGUAUUGUGUCAUGUAGGUGGAUGGGACUAAGAUGCUGACUGAUUUUUAUUCAAUCUAACAUUACCUUUCAUAGUCUGAGGAAGAUGCAUACCUUCCAUUUACAAGUACUUUCUGAAACACAUAUCCAGAACACUGAAUAUUUUCCUGCUGCUAAGCACAACUAGCUGUAGUCUUCUAAAUCAUCUACCCUUCUACAGAAUUUUCCAGUUUUCUUCUGAACAUGCCAUCUGGACAUGGAGAGACUGGAUCAGGAAAGUGAAGGCACAGCUGGAAUGGAACUUGGCAAGGGAUAUGGAAGUUAACAAGACUCUACGGAUACUAUGAUCAGAAGAGACAGAUCAAGGAGAGUCUACCCCUUCACAUAAAUUAAAAGUAAGAACUAGCUACAACAAACAUGGAGAAGGCUGACAUUAUCAAGUUCCUUGCCUCAGUCUUCACUGGCAGUCAAAUUUCUCACAUCUCUCAUAUCCCCGAACCUCUAGGCAGAGGUCGGGAUAGCAAAAUUUCCUCCGCUGUAAAUUCAAAACUACCUUAUGGGGCUAAAUGUAUAGAAGUCUAUGGGGCUGGAUGACAUGCAUUCCAGGGUCCAGAAGGAAAUGAGUGAUGUGGUUGCCAAGCCACGCACCAUCAUAUCUGAAAGGUCAUGGUUGUCAUGUGAAGUCCUCAGUGACUGGAGAAAGGAAAACAUCACUCCGAUUUUUAAGAAAGGGAAAAAGGAAGAGUUGGGAAACUACAGGCUGGUGAGCCUCACCUCUGUGCCUGGGAAGUUCAUGGAGCAGGUCCUCCAGGAAGUUAGAUUAAGGUGCAUGCAAGACAAGGAGAUCCAAGAUGGCCAGUACAGCUUCACCAAGGGAAGAUCGUGCCCAACCAGUCCAAUGGCCUUCUGUGAUUGGGUAAAAGUGUCUAGUUCAAGAUCUGAAGGGACUGUGAAAUUGCUUUUCCAAUGGUGAGUGAAAACACAGUCAGACACACGCAGAAAAUAAGACCUUCACAGCCUGUGGCACUACACAGCCCCAAAACAUUAAUAUGAGGGGAAAAUGGCACUAGUGUAAUGUACAGUGAUGAUGAAUAAGACUCAUCAGUGUGAUUUAACCCAAUUUAAUUUGAAUUAUAUUCAUUAGAAGGUAUAUUUAUAUUGUUCGUACUUUCAGCAUUAUUUCCAUUCUUACUUUGUAAUGAUUAUACAAUGAACUCUGGUUAGAUGCCUGACAAAGUGUAUUAUAUAACUGGCAAAGGCAGCUGUCUGAUUUCAUCUCUGUGAAGCACAUAUUAGAACACAAUGGAGGAGAUUCAUUUAGUUCAAGUAAUCUGUAUGCAGUGCACAUCAGCGGCAAGAUCAUAGUGCCACAGCCAGUGUCUUGGCUAAGGAUUAUCAGACUGUAUAUCCUGUAUCAGGAAACAUACUGAGCAAGUCCUCAUGCUGAUUAAAGAAAUAUGCCACCAGACUGACAACUCUUGUUUCCAGAUACUGACUUUUCCUCCCUCCUUAAGAGUCAGUCUUAAAGAUGUAUGUAGCAUCUACUUGAUCUGUCAAAGCUGGUCUGCAUCUUGAAAUGGCUAAAUUACCUGAGGAUGAGAAAAGUGCCAUUACUUAACAACUACAUUUUAAAGCAUUUAGCAGCAUGACAUUGAAGAUAAACCAGCUGCUCAACCUACCUGCAUGAGAAGUAUGAGAAAAUACAAAGAACAGUGUUCCACAGAUUAAUACUUUGCAUCCACCCAUUUUAGCUGAUACUCUUGCAGCUUUGAUUUGAAUUAUCUGUUAAAAAAUUAGGAGGACUGUGUGAUCUUGCUGUCUGCGCAGAAGGUGAUGAUUGAACUACAAGGAUAAAGAAAAAGAACCUUUAUUGUAUUCAAAUAAUGGCCUGUCAUCUGUAGACUACUACAAAUGUAGCAUUCACAAGUACACUGGAUAUCUUCUCAAGUUUGAGAGUCGUCUGAGUACAAACAGAUGUCCUGGGCUGAAUCAAUUCACAUUUCCUUCUAGGCACUAGAAAUUUAUAUUUAUGGCCAGUGAGCAGAUUUUGCUGAAAGUUCAGAGGAGAUUCCCAAAUAACCUCGGCUAAUGCCAAGAUAAAGCAUUGUUAUGUACAACGCUCUUAUCCUCAUUUCUUGAGAAUCUAAUGCCCAUACAGAAAAAUAGCUACUUUUUGUAAGACAACAACAAAAAUGUUUUCUGUUCCUGUGCAUGUGCAGAAUCCAGAUAUAAGAAAUACUGACUGACUCUGAGAACUGACACUCUGAAAAUGGAAUUAGGAGAAUGAAAGGUAUGAGUCCUUUCAUCUUUGUAACCGUGAGAAAUACUGUUAAUAGUCACUUCAAAUAUGACAGAGUGAAUGUUUUAAACGCUCCCCAUUGGAUUACACAAAUAAAAUAUGGCUCUGUGCUUUUAAUU
ensembl:lncRNA